rnacentral:rRNA from 1 species
UAUAAAAUAAGUAAAGCCAAACCAUAGAGGCGGGCCUCUGUUACAGGCUUGAAUGGGUGUUUUUAUUUAAGGUUUAAUCCUAGCCUUAAGAUUGAGGGGAAAGUGAGCUACAUGGAAUUUAUAGAGUGGGUAUAGUAAAGCAGAGUUAAAAUAAAAAUUAUAUAACCCCAGUGGUUAAAAUUAGGAUUAAGCUAAUCUUGAGACAGCAUCUGACCGAUUAAUUCAGUGCCAGCUAUCGCGGUUAAACUGAAGGUUUAUAAUCUAAAUUAAAGAAGAGGUAAUAUUUUUAACCUGGUGGGUAGUAGUAAAAUAUUUCUCCACCAAGGUUUGGUUUUAACCCUCUAAAACCUAAGAAAUAAACAAGGAUUAGAUACCCUUCUAUUCUUAGAUAAAAUUUUCUUAAGGUAGUAGUUGUUACAAUCUUGAAACCUAAAGGAUAUGGCGGUUUUUAAUAAAAUCAGAGGAACCUGUCUCAUAAGCGAUACCCCACGAUAAAUCUUACCUUUUAAAAGUUUGUAUACCGUUGUCUAAACUUAUUUAAGAGAAUAGGUUAUAACUAGUUAUAUAUAAGUCAGAUCCAGGCGCAGCUUUUAGAGGAGAAGAUGGGUUACAAUUUACCAAAAUUGGAUGUAAAUUUUAAAUUUUUACUUAAAUAGGAUUUGAAAGUAAUUUUAGUUUAAUAAACUUAAAUGAGUGGUAAUUUAAAAAUGUACAUAUCGCCCGUCACUCUCUAAUAGAGAUAAGUCGUAACAAAGUAGAUGUACCGGAAGGUGCCUCUUUCGUCCAGAAUUAAGAAUGAUACUCUUAGAAAGUAGUUUUACCUGGU